AAGUAGCUUCGCGUGGAUGCGGUGAUUGAAAAUGGUAAUAAGGCCACUCAACUCUAGGGUCCCCUGAGCAAUGUCGCUUGCUUCGAUUAACGGCUGGUGUCUCGCCUCCCUCUCUCCGUCUCAGUCUUCUCGCCGGAGACCCACAUUUGGUCCCUCUGUCUUUGCAACCCUCAACUCUUCUCCUGUUUCUUCAUCUUCAUCUUCAUCUUCAUCUUCUAUCCCUAGCCUUAUCAGAAACCAGCCUGUUUUUGCAGCCCCUGCUCCUAUCAUCAAUCCUACUUGGAGAGAAGAAAUGGGAAAGAAUUCAUACGAUGAGGCAAUUGAAGCCCUCAAGAAACUCCUCAAUGAGAAGGGAGAGCUGAAAGCUAGUGCAGCUGCGAGAGUAGAUCAGAUAACAGCUGAGUUACAAACUGCUUCAUCUGAUGGCAAACUUUUCAACCCAGUUGAGAGAAUGAAACAAGGAUUCGUUCACUUCAAGAAAGAGAAAUAUGAAAAGAAUCCUGCACUGUACGGUGAACUUGCCAAAGGCCAAAGCCCCAAGUUUAUGGUGUUUGCAUGCUCAGAUUCCCGAGUUUGCCCAUCACACGUGCUGGAUUUUCAACCUGGAGAGGCUUUUGUGGUCCGUAAUGUUGCUAAUAUGGUCCCACCAUACGAUCAGGUUAAAUACUCAGGAAUUGGUUCUGCAGUUGAAUAUGCAGUUUUGCACCUAAAGGUAGAGAACAUUGUGGUGAUUGGGCACAGUGCUUGUGGUGGAAUCAAGGGGCUAAUGACUUUCCCAUUUGAUGGAAACAAAUCUACUGACUUCAUAGAAGAUUGGGUGAGUAUUGGGUUGCCUGCCAAGGCCAAGGUACUAGCAGAACAUGGAGGUGCAGAUUUGCCAGAACUAUGCACUCACUGUGAAAAGGAAGCAGUGAAUGUGUCACUUGGAAACUUGCUGACUUACCCAUUUGUGAGAGAUGGGUUGGUGAAGAAAAGUCUAGCAUUGAAGGGUGGCUACUACGAUUUCGUUACCGGAAGUUUUGAGCUCUGGGGGCUUGAGUUUGGCCUCUCUCCCCCUCUAUCUGUAUGAACAUACCAACCAUUAUCUGUGUCACCAUUCUCUUUCCCACCAGAUCAUCAUGUACUAAAUGAGCUAUAAUCUGCAAUAAACACUAAAUGGAGAUCAUCAGCAGCUCCUUUUACUUGUUAAAGAUGUGGCCACCAUACUUCAUUGGAAGCUCUAGGGCAUUGCAUACAGGUCAUUCAUUCCUGCUAAGAUGAGGACACUCUCUUCUUUUGUUUCUUUGAAAUAAUAUAUGAAAUGGGUUUUGUUGAUUAAGACCCUUUUAUCAAGAACUCAGGUCAUGUUUUCUUCCUUCUUCAGCAUCCAACUUAGUCAAUUAUAUACUUACUACAAACUAAUGAUUUGCCA